GUCUCUAAACUACGCAAUUCGUUUGUCUCGUAUGACAAUUCCGUGACACGAUCCUUAAACGCAUCAUGUUUGUUCACACAGAAUAAAUAAUUGCAUUAGAAAUCAGAAUUUUAGUAAAUUAAUUGUCAUCACGUUACCAAAUCAAGCAAGUGUUUUUAUUGUGCAAUUCUGUAUGAUCAGCGUGUCUUUCAUUAAGAUUGUAAAAUGAAUCAUUUAAAACAUAUUCGUGGCAUAAGCGUUCGUGCUUCAUCUAAUGCUGCUUUGCCCUCGCAUUAUGGACAGCAUGCUAAUGUAUAUUCCGAGAAUCUUCACUUAAAAUCUCAUUGUCAGUUAUUACGAUCAAAUCCAUUAUGCGUAGUAAAGAAAAAUCAUGGUGAUGCUAAAGAUUUGGGGCAGUUUCGUCAAGACAGUCUACGACUUGUUUCCAAAGAGAGCAAAACGAUUUGCAAACAACGUAGUAAAACCAAGUCUAGCGUAACUUCGUUAAAAAAGAAAUCGAUAAUGCAUAAGAAAUCACCAUCGGAGAGUAUAACAAAAAAAGUGUGCCAUUACUCUACGUGCCGGAAUGUCAAAUUUAAUAGCAAUGGAAUUAACAAACAACUCAUGCGUCAAAGCGAAACGAUAAAUGGCGUGAAAAACAUAAAUCGUCAUAGUAGUUUCAUUGCAUCCGUUGAGAAACGUCCCCGAUCGUAUGCAGAAAUUAUAUCCGAUUACAGCGAAUCUUUAUACAAGGAAUCUGCUGUAGGCGCACGAAAUAAUAGUUUCCAUUUCAACAAUGCAAUACGCAAGAGCCCAUUCAGUACCUUCUCGACUUCACUUCCCGCUAAGAAAAUUAUGAACGUUGCUGAAUACAGUGAACUUUCAACUGAAAGACAAAAAAUUGAUUUUCCUCUUCCCGUUAAGUCUCUCGAUCUUUGCAAUCGAAGUAAUAACAUAAACACUGUUGAAUGUUAUGAUUUUCAACAUAGUACGUGCACGGCAGAGGCAAUGAAUAUCAAGCAGAAUUGCGUUAUUACAAAUGACUUGAGGAACGAUCAAUCUUAUGCGAAAUUAAUUGCUGAUUGCAGUAACGGCAUGCAUAAUAUUCCUGUUACAAGUGUUUUGAACGAUGAUCUGAUACCAAAAAGGAAUGUGUUGCCAACAAAUUCUUUCGAAUCUGUCAUCGCUCCGAAAAAAACUAAUACAUGUACGCAAGAAUCAACGCAAAAGAUAACUCCUAGUGUUGAUACAUUAGAAAAAAAUAUCAAAGAACAAGUGAUUAAUUUAAAGGAAAAUGAUUUGUUAAAAGAAAUGGAAAACGUAAUGAGUGAUUUGAAGGGAAUAAUCGAAAGAAAAGAUACAAGAAUCGAUGUUCCUAAGAUAAAAAAGAGUGAUAUUUUGCAAUCUGUAUCUAGUAAUUUGGAUAAAAUUCACGAACUUGCAGAACUUAUCGAACCUAACAAGCAAAAGAAGAAGGAUGUAACAUUCGGAAAGUUGAGCUGUCAAUUGAACCAAAUUAAUAGAAUGGAAAAACGUAAAAAUCUUGAAUUUCAAAAGCACAAUUAUUCGCAUUUAAGUGACAAGACUUCAAAUCUGCCACAAAACUUUGGUAAUGUAGCGGAAAGUUCAGUCGUAAGGAAGAAAUCCACACAUGCGUCAACUACCGUAUUGAAACAGCCGCAGGUCAAAUUGCGCAUGGUACCUUCUGAAAAAGAGUCCAUUGUGUCGAUCAACGUAGACCAAGCUUCAACUGGAUCAUCAGAUCCUUUAAAUUCCAAACAUCUCUCUGUCAUUGUGCAAUCUGAUCAGAAGGAAGAGUUAGCGAAUACCCAAUGGAACGCUCCAGCACUUCAGCAUAUCACCAAAAGUGCAUUGCAGCGCAAUGAUUUCGGUCCAAUGCGUAUUUCGAUUAGUGAGGACUCUGCGCCGGUUAAACAGAUUGAGUUUUCAAUCAACGGCAAACCGGUUUCGGAACUGAAGAGCAUCACCGCGCGAACAGAGAGACUAGACGUGGUGAGUUCCAUGGACAAAAUCGAGAUCAGGAUACCGUUCGCCAAGGACGACUCGAACACGUUGGACAAAAGCAGAGAGGAUAACACGCCGAAAGGAAUCAAUUCGAAUGUAGGGCAAAUAUUGAACGUGCAAAUAUCUGCUAAUUUUCAAGACGAAUCUACGAAAAGUAAUAGCGUGGAAAAACCGGCAAAGGCAAUACAACAUCAGUAUGAUAAAAAUGUGGUAUCAAAAUCACCAUCGUCACUUUUUAAAAGUUCUUAUUCGUUCGAUAAUGUCCCUAAAACUUAUGAUGAAAAUCUUAACAACAUUAACCUACCACAACACGAUAAAAUUGAGUCUGCCAAACGAAUGAAUAUUACUUUUGAUGAUAAUAAACAUAUUCACGAAUACAAAACUUCGGAUGACGUUAAUUUUAACACCCAACACAAAACGACGAAAGAUUUAUCAGUUGACGAAACGAUGACAGGCGUUUCAUUCAUCAAAGAAGUAAAUAAUGUUAAAGUUGAAAGCUUGAAUGUAAGAAAAACGAAUACCACAGGAUUUCCAAAGGCGAAUGUAAACAAUAAAAAUGAAUCUUCUGACAAUCGCGUUCCGUCGAACAUGAUACCUUGGUGGUCUUCUUCGGAUUCCUUCAACAAGAUAAGAAAGAAGCAAGAUAAUCAUAGACCGCUUACAUCACCAUUAAAUCGAAAUGAACAAAAAACAGUUUCAAAUCUAAAUCAAAAUCUUAUUUCUAAAUCUUCAUUGUCAAAGCCGGAAGAAACGUCAAAUUCAAAGAUGAAGAAAACUCAAACGACAAGUGAUACUACAAGUGAUUCUGGCAAUAUAAUUUCUUAUUCGAAUUCUAUGAAGUUAUAUAAAGAAUCUAAACCUUUUCAUUAUGCAUUUAGAUUAAAACCAAAUCAAGGAUAUCACGAUAUUAUUCCUGAAAUUGUAAAGAACGAUUUGAAAACUGAAGAUAAUCAGACGUUAACUGCAAAGAAAAAUAUCAAUAAAAUUUCUGGAGUAAAACAAACAGAAUCAAUUGCAUUAUUUAGAUCUGAUACAAUAAAUAUAAAAGACAAGCAUGAUGUAAGCGUGAAAGAAAAUGCAUCUGUGCUACAAAGAAAAAUCAAGAUACCAAGCAGUGCGCAGAAUUUACCACCCAGAAAUCAAGAACAUAAAAAUAAUUAUUCGCUAAAGCAGACAAGAUCUAUUGAUAAUGUAUCUAAAGAUAUAAAAUCUAAAAUAAAAGAAAAAUCAUUCAAAAGGAAAGAAGAUGAUGCUUUGGCCGAUGGUGACUUAAAAAAAGAAGUGUCGUUAAGAAAACUGACAGCAAGUUUAAAUAGUAGAGUGAAAGAAGUUCAAUCUCCAUCUUCGAUAAUUAUGACAAAAGAUUUGAUUUCAAAGUCACCUAGCGCAGAAAUAAUAUCAAAGAAGGUUGAUAAGACAACAUUAAGAAAACAAGAAUCGGCCAAUACAAAAAAAUUACAAACAAAGAUAGAUAUCUUGAAGGAAAAAGAUUUAAUAGUAAAAAACAAUACAAUUAAAACACCGAACGAAAACAACAUUGAGAAUAGAAAAGGGGUACCUAAUGAUUAUAUGAGCUCUUUAAGGAAUCCCCCAAACUUGAUACAAACAUUGAAAAAACAGGAACAAUUGGCUAACAAUAGUAUCGUUUUUCAAGAUAAAUCGAAAGAAAAUUUAAAAUCGUUAAUAAAGACAAAUAAAAAUAGACCUAAUUCUUUAUUAAACACAAUGAGUUCUUCAAGAACAAUGCAAAAGUCAGAAGAAUUAAAAAAGACAUUAUUAGAAGAGUCAAAGCAAAAUAGACCGAAGAGUUUAAUAAAUAUAAAAAAUAUUUCAGAAGCAGUUCAAGAAUCCGAAAAAUUAAGAAUCUCGAAUUCAAGAUUGAUUGACCUAUCCAAGGAAUCUUCAGAUACGACAACGUUAAAUAAAACGCAUUUGGAAACAAUAAAACAAAUACAACCAAAAUCAAAAAAUAUAAAUAAAAAAACAACUGAUAUAAGUAAGUUAUGCUCUUUACAAACAAUAUCUGAUUCAACGUCGAGAAUAAAAGAUUGUGCCGUAUCUAGAGAAUCUAAUGAAUAAAAAUACAGAAGAGAUAUCUGUUACUCGAUCUAUGAAAACGAAAACGACCGAUAUAGCAGCCAAAAUCGUAAAUCAAAAUCUCAACAGCAAGGAUCUCCCAAAGGUCAACGAGAAAAAUUAUUUCAAUAGGUCAAGAUCGGAUAAAGAAUCAGCUGGUUCUUCGAGGAAACCGAAUGAUUUGAUUGGUUUUAAAUCGACUGAUUUAAAGACGAAAUCCAGAUCAGUUAUAUUCAAAGU
rnacentral:misc_RNA from 1 species